GCGAUAGCUGUACCUGUACAUCAAACACUACUACAAACAGUAGUAGAGAGCUGCUAGAGAAAACUGAAGCUAAAUAAAACAGAGUUUCAUAUACAUAGUUCGGAUCCAAAAUACAGAGCUACUCGCACUGGCGAGUUAAGUCAACUAUGUACAUAAACUCGAAACAAAACAUCUACCUGCAGUAGGGCACCUCUAGAUCCGCACGUCGGGUAGGGCUCUAACUCGCGACGCCCUUGCCUCGAUCCUGGUCCGCAGACGGUACAGCAGCCGGAAACUGUGGCUCUGCAAAAACAUAGGUAACAACUGGGCGUGAGAACUACUGUAAAAACAAGUAGUCCUCAGUGGGUACCGCCCAAAACAACAUCGGUCACCCACUAAGUCUACAGAAGGGAGCAAGGAUAGAAGGAAAGCAGGAAGCAUACUCUAACGCUAUCAUCCGCUAUACUAUCAUGCUCUACACUAACCAACUGUAGAAAAAGUCAAAUCUGACCCAAUUCAAUCGGGACUGUAAGCAUACCCGUCCCCGGGACUGUGAAUACACCCGUCCCUGCCCCGUUGCGACUAUCGGGCUCUAUCCACUCUAACUGGUCCGUGGAGAGCAAGUCCAACUGGCAUGAGCGACACCAACGCAAAAGCACAAGCCUGACUCCGGAGUGGCACUCGUGGGCGCUACCCAACCGAGUAUGCAGCGUAUCUCUGUCGAGCUCAAUCAGGCUCCAAAGUCAAGUAAUCGACUCAAACUGGUCUAACAACCAACAGGUAACGUGCCCUCGGCACAAUCUGACGCAAAAAGGCGAUACGAGUCCACCGUCAACUCUGACGGCACCCAACAGUCCGAAACGACCUGAACGACCCGGUAAAAAUCCACUCGGCGAACCAGCACGAGUGUAAAUACAUUCUAAACUACCUGGAGUACUCGUCUCGAAGAAACUGCGACAGUACAAUUUUCUAACGGCUCCUAGAGCUAAAUCAGGUAGUUUAAAACUGGUGACAGGUCCAAAUCGCGGUUUUCUCCUAAUUCAAUUUUCAAGUCCAACAUGUAUA
rnacentral:lncRNA from 1 species